rnacentral:rRNA from 1 species
GACGAACGCUGGCGGCGUGCUUAACACGUGCAAGUCGAACGGAAAGGCCCUGCUUUUGUGGGGUGCUCGAGUGGCGAACGGGUGAGUAACACGUGAGUAACCUGCCCUUGACUUUGGGAUAACUUCAGGAAACUGGGCUUAAUCCGGGAUAGAGCCUCCUCUUCCAGGUGGGGGUUGGAAAAUUUUCGGCGGUUGGGGAUGGACUCGCGCGUUAUAAGCUUGUGGGUGGGGUAGUGGCUAACCAAGGCUUUGACGGGUAGCCGGCCUGAGAGGGUGACCGGCCACAUUGGGACUGAGAUACGGCCCAGACUCCUACGGGAGGCAGCAGUGGGGAAUAUUGCACAAUGGGCGGAAGCCUGAUGCAGCAACGCCGCGUGCGGGAUGACGGCCUUCGGGUUGUAAACCGCUUUCGCCUGUGACGAAGCGUGAGUGACGGUAAUGGGUAAAGAAGCACCGGCUAACUACGUG